rnacentral:tRNA from 1 species
GGGCCUGUAGUUUCAAUGGUAAAACGUCGGUCUCCAAAACUGAAGUUCUGAGUUCGAGUCUCAGCGGGCCCG